rnacentral:rRNA from 1 species
AUACUGGCCGGAGACCGAUAGCGCACAAGUAGAGUGAUCGAAAGAUGAAAAGCACUUUGAAAAGAGAGUUAAACAGCACGUGAAAUUGUUGAAAGGGAAGCGUUUGCGACCAGACUCGCCCGCGGGGUUCAGCCGGCAUUCGUGCCGGUGUACUUCCCCGUGGGCGGGCCAGCGUCGGUUUGGGCGGCCGGUCAAAGGCCCUCGGAAUGUAUCACCUCUCGGGGUGUCUUAUAGCCGAGGGUGCAAUGCGGCCUGCCUGGACCGAGGAACGCGCUUCGGCUCGGACGCUGGCGUAAUGGUCGUAAAUGACCCGUCUUGAAACACGGACC